AGAUUGAACGCUGGCGGCAGGCCUAACACAUGCAAGUCGAGCGGUAGAGAGGUGCUUGCAUCUCUUGAGAGCGGCGGACGGGUGAGUAAUGCCUAGGAAUCUGCCCUAGUGGUGGGGGGAUAACGUUCGGAAACGGACGCUAAUACCGCAUACGUCCUACGGGAGAAAGCGGGGGACCUUCGGGCCUCGCGCCAUUAGAUGAGCCUAGGUCGGAUUAGCUAGUUGGUGAGGUAAUGGCUCACCAAGGCGACGAUCCGUAACUGGUCUGAGAGGAUGAUCAGUCACACUGGAACUGAGACACGGUCCAGACUCCUACGGGAGGCAGCAGUGGGAAUAUUGGACAAUGGGCGAAAGCCUGAUCCAGCCAUGCCGCGUGUGUGAAGAAGGUCUUCGGAUUGAAAGCAACGUUUAAGUUGGGAAGGUAAGGUUUGUAACUUUAAUACGUUGACUAACGUUUGAACGUUACCGAACAGUAAUAAGCAACCGGUCUAACGUUCGUAGCCAGCA
rnacentral:rRNA from 1 species